rnacentral:lncRNA from 10 species
ACGCCACGGGGCCAGGCAGUUGAGGGCAGCUAGGGUGUCAGACUUGCCCAGAGGGACGUGGGCUGCAGCAAGUGGAAAGAGAAUCAUAGCAGCCACUGGCUUUGCAGCCACACGGACCAAAGUUCAAAUCCCAGUAACUCACGCUCUGGCAGUGUGAUCUUGAGUAUCACGAACACCUCUGAGCCUCGGUGUCCUCAUGAAAUGGGGAGAAGAGUUGAGGUUCUCGUAGUGAUCAGCGAGCUGAUGUCUGUGCAGGCCUAGCACAGGGACUGGCACACAGGGACUCUGAUCAGGGGAGGGAAAGCAGUGAGAGAGCAUAGCUUCCCAGAGAGCUCUGAAGGGGUCGGGGGACCAAAGGGGAAAGAAAAUCACAAGCUCUCUUUGGGACUACCUGUAGGGUGAGCCAGGUUUCAUGAGCAAGGAAAACCUCCACUUCAUUUCCAGUCUCUCCAUAAAGCCUGAUGUUCCUCCUUUUGUGUUCCUCUGGGUUAU